UAUCUGGAGGAACACCAGUGGCGAAGGCGGCCUCCUGGACCAUUCCUGACACUCAGACGCGAAAGCUAUGGUAGCAAACGGGAUUAGAGACCCCGGUAGUCCUAGCCCUAAACGAUGUAGACUAGGCGUCGGAAGUUUAAUCACUUUCGGUGUCCAAGCUAACGCGAUAAGUCUACCGCCUGGGGACUACGGCCGCAAGGUUAAAACUCAAAGGAAUUGACGGGUCCCCGCACAAGCAGCGGAGCGUGUGGUUUAAUUCGUUGCUACACGAAGAACCUUACCUGGGUUUGACAUAGCAGUGGUAGGGAAGCGAAAGCGGACCGACCCUUCGGGGAGCUGUUACAGGUGUUGCAUGGCUGUCGUCAGCUCGUGUCGUGAGAUGUUCGGUUAAGUCCGCUAACGAGCGCAACCCGCGUUGUGUGUUACAAGUGUCACACAAUACCGCCGGUAUUAAGUCGGAGGAAGGUGCGGAUGACGUCAAGUCAGCAUGACCUUUAUAUCCAGGGCUACACACACGCUACAAUGGGUCAGGCACAAUAGGUUGCCAAGUCGUGAGACGGAGCCAA
rnacentral:rRNA from 1 species